AAACUCGGGGGACUGCUGACUAUAACCAUUUCUCAAAACAGAGGAAGGUUGCGGCAAUAACAGGUCUGUGAUGCCCUCAGAUGUCCCGGGCUGCACACGUGCUACAAUGAGUGGCGCAAUGUGCUAAUGUUUUAAGGGAUAAGCGUGCGGCCAGUAGAACGUCGGCAAUUGCCCUGGCGUCUUCUACCGCACGAUUAUCAGCCUUCCCUUAACAGGGCGGGCAACCUUUUCAAAAUACCGGUUUGAUGUUAAAGUAUAGAGUCGUUUUUUUUGGAUGGUGGUUUACGAACCAAUACCAUCCGCAACUGCUCGCGAGUUUGUGGUUCUGGUGACUCAUGGUGGGGACCGAUGUUUGUAAUUGUUUGUCGCGUGUCAACUAGGAAUGCCUUGUACUGUCGAUUCACUAAGUU
rnacentral:rRNA from 1 species